GCGCCGUGAGGGGCGGCUGGCGGCCGCGCUGCGGUGGCGCGGUCCGGGGCCUGCCGGUAGUCGGCGUUUGCCGCGGUCCCUUCCGUUGCCCUGGCUGCGCGGCGGCCCUGGGGCGGUAGGCAGGCCGGGGUGGGGACGGCCGCCUUGCCCUCGCCUCGCCCCGCCGGCGCCAGGUGCGGGCCUCCUGUGCUGGGUGCCCGCAACCCCCCGCGCUAGGUGUGUCUUCACGGCCUGCAGCCGGGGUGUGAGAGAGAGGUUGAUGUGGGUGGCAUAACUGAGUGGGGAAUGCUGCUUGAUGGCGGGGUUGUGACCCAUGUGCUGUGCAGCGUGUGGCGCACCGGCUGUCGUCACCGUUGGCACUACCUAAUUGUGUGGAUGAGCACUUAGAGCAACAGAUUAGAAGUGGUACAUCAGAGAUUCUGGACGAGACCAUUCUUCUCAUUAAAGACAAGGUGAUGGAAAUGAGCCACAUCUAUGCCAAAGUUGAUAAAUUAGAGAAAUAGUAAAACUGGAAAGCAUGGCAAGGGAAGUCACAAGGCUGAACACAGAAAAGAAGUUCUCUCUCAGAAAUUUUUAAACAGAUGAAGACUCAGCUUGAAGGAGGACAGGAUAGAGAUUUGUGGUCAUUCUGUAUGUGGAGCAGAGACAUCCUUGAUCAGCAGCACGCCCCUAUGACCUGCCAAAGCUCUACCGAAGACUUUUUUCCUAUGAACUAUACAGUAGCCUCCUGCGAAACAGAGCAGCCUACAGAGGGAGAAAGGAACGUAACCGAGUUUUCUUAG
rnacentral:lncRNA from 1 species